rnacentral:tRNA from 40 species
UCCUCGAUAGCUCAGUUGGUAGAGCAAUCGGCUGUUAACCGAUCGGUCGUAGGUUCGAGUCCUACUCGAGGAGCCA